AAGUUGGUGGUGAAAUCCCACAGCUUAACUCUGGAACUGCCAUCAAAACUUUUCAGCUAGAGUAUGAUAGAGGAAAGCAGAAUUUCUAGUGUAGAGGUGAAAUUCGUACAUAUUAGAAAGAAUACCAAUUGCGAAGGCAGCUUUCUGGAUCAUUACUGACACUGAGGAACGAAAGCAUGGCCAGCGAAAAGUAUUAGAUACCCUCGUAGUCCAUGCCGUAAACGAUGUGUGUUAGUCGUUGGAAAUUUAUUUUCAGUGUCGCAGCGAAAGCGAUAAACACACCGCCUGGGGAGUACGACCGCAAGGUUAAAACUCAAAUGAAUUGACGGGGACCCGCACAAGUAGUGGAGCAUGUGGUUUAAUUCGAAGAUACGCGCAGAAUUCUUACCAACACUUGACAUGUUCGUCGCGACUAUAAGAGAUUAGAGUUUUCGGUUCGGCCGGACGAAACACAGGUGGUGCAUGGCGGUCGUCAGAUCGUGUCGUGAGAUGUUGGGUUAAGUCCCGCAACGAGCGCAACCCUCACUUUUAGUUGGCAUCAUUAAGUUGGGCACUCUGAAAGAACUGCCAGUGAUAAGCUGGAGGAAGGUGGGGAUGACGUCAAGUCCUCAUGGGCCUUUCGUGUUGGGCUACACACGUGCUACAAUGGUAUCUACAACAGGAAGCAAGACUGCGAAGUUAAGCAAAUCCCUAAAAGAUACCUCAAUUCGGAUUGCACUCUGCAACUCGAGUGCAUGAAGCAGGAAUUACUAGUAAUCGUGGAUCAGCAGUACACGGUGAAUGCGUUAGCGGGUCU
rnacentral:rRNA from 1 species